GCAGGGCCUCUGUGAGCAGCAAGUGAGCGUCUGUGGGUGGUCCUGGCUUCUGCUCAUGCUCAGCGCGCUCACCGCGGAGAGGGGAGGGGAAGCAGAGGGAUUUUAAAAGACUUCAAGGUACAAAUCUCUUAAUUUUCCACAGUGCUGCGGGAGAACAGAGUCACUCAGCACUCGCCAAGCGAACUGAGGCCGGGAGGCGCUGGGGAGGUUCUGGUUCGGAAGGUGGGCGCAAGUCACCCCCAGGAGCUGAUCCCAGGAGUCUGUCUGCGACCUGGCAUGAGAUAAAAAGCUUAACCCGAGAAAGUGCUUCUCACCAGGCGGGGGUGAGGCUCUGGCACCUUGUGAACGGCACGGAGGCCCACCCUGCAGCCACCGCCCUGGUCCUGCCACAGGCACACAUGGAGCCUCCCAAUGCCCAGCCCAGCUGGUCCCGUUAACGGGCUCCCCAGACUGCCCCCCAGACUCCCCCCGACAGGCCCGUGCAAGGGGAAGACUGUUUCCUCAGGGGAGUGGGCUGUGGGGGGGGGAGGGGAAGGGGGCUUCCAGAAUAACCAUGAGACCGCUCUCCUUCUGCAGCACCUAUGUUGCACGAAUCUCACCUACACGUGUAAGAAAGGGAAUUAUGGGAAACAUUGCUCUGUUUAGCCAAGUUGACAUGUUGCAAGGUUACCAUUGUUUUUGUUCCAAAUUUUUUGUUUCUUUUUAUCCGUCAAGCUCCUGAUUGGGUAUUUUUUUAGAUUUGCAUGUGAGUUUGUGUGGAUUCCCCUUGAACUAAACAUUCCUCUGCUUUUCUCAACUGAAUUCCUUUGAGGAUCCUUUAACUUCUGAUGGGAAAUGAGCACCAUGCCAGGAAUUCUGCUGGGAAGGAAUGUGUCCAGAAUUACCUCCCGUUUCCUCACGCAGACGUUCCUUUCUGCGCCUCCCUGCUCCCGGGCUGGCAUUGCAAGGGCACGUGGUGCUGCUGAGCGCCUCACCAGCUCCUCUGAAAACAGUUCUUUCCACCUUCUCUCUGCUCCUUGUCUGAUGAAUGCCAGAUUUUUCCUUGCCAUCUUUGGUGUACUGGUCUCCUUAAUGUCUACCAUCUGCUGAGUCGCAUUUGGAAACUGAGUAAGGAUGAGAAGUGCCUGAUGAACAUUUCAUCGAGUUGCGUUGUCUCCCAGAACGGGCAGUUGCCCUUCCCCCCAGUCGCUGCGGUUGGCGGUGGUGCUGUGAGCUAGAGAGCGGGAUCUGUGCACUGCAGGUCAGCCUCUCACAAAUCACCACACUUCGGCUAUUUAAUUGUCGACGUAUCGCCUGAAGAUGCAGUAUUUCCCAAAA